rnacentral:lncRNA from 1 species
AUGCAUGAGUUGGUCUACAUCAUCCAUUACUACAAGUCGAAAAUUACAAGGGUCUUGCUAUCCUAAGCAGCAUCGACGGCAUUAUUAUAGCCUACAAUUACAACAAAAAAAGGGUAUUAAUUCACUAAGCAGCCUUGACAACCUUGUCAUCACCUACAACAUUAAGAAUCGGAAGGCUGCUUAGGAAUUCAUCAAGACCCUCGAAAAACCCAUUCCCUUCAAUGUUGUCAUCCUCUCCGCGUCCUGAUCCAUUUCCUUGGUUCACCCUGGGAGCAGGCUCCUCAACUUCAUUGCUAAAUUCCACAUUCAAAUCCAACUUCCCAAAGUUCUUUGCAACUCUCCCAGGUUGCUUCCGUGCAUUAGCCGCAGACCCUUUCUUACUCGGCUCACCAGUUGGUUUACUAGGCGUCUCCACGUCCAGCGAAGCUACAAAUUUAUCUUGUACAUUCACAUUUUUAGCUUUAUCAACUUGUGCUUUUUUCACAUUUUUAUUUGGCUUCCUGCCAGCUCCUUUUCCUUUAACACUAUUCAUUUUCUUCUUCUUUUUCUUCUUCUCCGUACCAUUCUUCCAAUCAUCAUCAGACCCACUCGAGUUUGAGAGUUCCACAAUAUCAUCAUCAUCAUCAUCAAUAUAUACUCUAGGAGCUGAGCUCUUCCGUCCACCCUUAUUAUUUGCAUUCGGCAUUUGUGGGGAAGUAAACAUAGGCGAAAACGGGGACCACUGCGAAGCUGCAGCUCGAUUUUUCUCCAAAUUUGCCAUUGAAACGCCCAACGGUAAAAAUCCCCAGCAACAGAAGUACUGCUCUUGUCCAUCUGCGAUUGGCGGUGGCGAUGGAAUAGCCACUGCCUGAAACGCUCUUUUACAUUUUUGACACCGCAGAGUACAGUCAGUGUAAACACUGGGAUACUCGUACAUGUGAUAACAAUAAGGACACGCAGUCCAGAAAGUCGGCACACCAUCACCUGCGGGUGCAUCCACUCUCUCCACCUCUUCUAUGUUCUCAUCAGCAGCAGUAUCCUGACUAGUUUUAUGACUUUUAUCUGUAACAUUUGAAUAAUUUUUCUCUGGCUGUGGCUGCUUAUUCACUUGUUCCUGAGUUGACCUAGACGCAGAAGCUACAUUCCCAAUAAAACUAGGGUAACUUUGUUGUGGCUGUUUAUUCACUUGUUCUUGAGUCGAAACAGAUCCCGACCCAGACCCAAAAGCUAUAUUACCACCAGAAGAAAAAUUAAUAAAGCCAUGUACUUGUUGCUUACUCACUUGUUCAGGACUCGACCCAAAAGUUAUCGGAUCGGGAGCUACGACAUGUGCUUGAGGGAUAUGACUCGCAGAAAUAGUACUGCUAGCAUGUACCGGUGGUUGAGUGACAUGAGGGCUUGCACUACUGCUGCUUCCUCCGAAGAAAAUGAAGUUCUGCUGCAUUGAAGGAAUAGUCAAAUGCUCAUGAGCCGACGCAGAGCUAAACGGGUCGCGCUGUUGCUGCAGAUGGAAACCCAGUUCCUUAUCGUACACCGAUUUCGUCGAUGGGUUAGAGAGCACCGACCACGCGUCCACCACCAGUCGAAACGCCUGGUCCGCAAAGGGGAAAUUAUUCUUCUGAGGGUUCAAUAAAAGGGUUAGUCGGCGGUACUGAUUUGCAAUAAGCUCCGAGUCAUGGCACUGGAGGGGUGCUUGAAGAAUCGAGUACCAAUCAAGCUGGUUAUUAUUGAUCCGCCGGUCACCGGCGAGGAGCGUGUCAGUCACAGCGAGGACUUGCUCCGACUGCAAAAGGGUCGGGUCAGAAUCCCGAGCCCGGGUCGCAAAUGACUUGCUUCCAAGCAAAUCACGCGCUGACAACAAUUUUUCGGCGAUUGCCAGCCACCUCAAAGCCUCCGAUCGAGUGGUGGUUGUCGGAAAAAAUGAUUGUUCCAUAAUUCUUUUUCCCUUCUAAUUUCUGCUUCGUUUUGUGAGUGGGUUGGGGAUGGAGAGUAGAAGAAGAGUGAGGAUUUUCUUGUGGACGAAAAAGGGCCCGGGUUUUUACAGUAAAGUCAUGAUGUUUAUGGGGGAAAGGGUUGGGGAGAUGAGAAUAAAUGCGUAAUGUGAAGGAGAGUCUUGACUUUGGGACAUUGAUUGUGCCAUCUUUACAUAGCAAUUUAUAUCUACAUGAUGAGUUAUCAAGUAACGCUAUUUGUUUGUAAUUGAGUUAUUUAUGUUCUCUUUGCUAUUUUCAGAUCGUUUUCUAUUUUCGAUUUUUCAAAAUGAUGAAAACGCAUUCUCUUUUCUAUUUUCGAAAACGCUUUCUCGAAAAAAAAAAUUAUGAAGAAAACACAAAACGAUCAAAAUGUCGUUUUGACUGUUUUGUGUACAAAACUUGUGAAAAUCAGAAAACGCGAAAAAUGACCCAAAUUAAAAAAUUUCCACCAUCUUCUUCAAUUCUCAUCCCCUUCACAGUCAUCGCCUUCUUCCUCCAAACUCCACCACCACCCGCCACCUGGACCACCGAACUCCACCACCAGUCAAACCCCCUCACCUCCCCCAAUGGCGGCGCCACACUUGGGCACUUCGAAAACAAUGGACUGCUCGAAUUUUUUGCACAAGCCACUGAUUGCACUAAUAAAUUAAUCAACUUCUGGGCGAAAUUGGGGUUGAACCAUUGCUGCACAAGGUGCGCCAGGUGAAGAGGAGUUCAACCCAUGUGGUCCGUGACCAUGGGUCGACCGGACGACGCCAGAAUCUGCAAAAAUAGGAUUCUGCUGGAUAGGCUUCGCGACGCCCAAAAUUUUUGGGUUAAAUUUAGAUUUUUGAAUUGUUGUUUGUGUUAAAUUUGCUUCUGGUGUGGGUUUGAGAAUAAUUUCGACAUUGUCAUGAACUCCUUGUAACAGAAGUUCCCCGUCGUAUGUCAAGACUUUACGCCUUUUUGCUGCACGCAAUGUUCCAACCAGUGCUUCAAAGAUGUUUGCACAUCUGUCAUCGUUAAACAGCACCCCGAAUGUAACCUUCAAAUCAAAAACAGAGCAGAGGUGAUAUCAACUCUAUACGUUUAAAUUUCUCUAAUUAAGAAAAAUAAAAGAAUUUGUGCAUCUUCAUGUAAGAAGAUGGAAGAUUUCAUGUAGCAAAGACUAAUAAAAUGGUGCACAGUUGAUAAUAAUCAAGUCAUUAGGUUGUAGGAUUCUAUAGUUACUGACAAAUGAAUCACAAAAUUAUUAGUUAUAACCAUUGUAAGAACCAUACUUCUCGUAGAACAUUAAUCAAUGAUCAUGAUCAAACAUUCAUUAUAUGAAUUUUAUUCAUCAUCCAUUUAUAGCGUAAUAGGCCAAAUUUCAAGUAAUUAUAUUAUAAUUUGUUUUUAAAGCAAUAAGGUUCAGUUAAAAAAGAAAGAAGACAGUUACAGCCAUUUACAUGUAAAGCAAGUUGGAAGCCAUCAUUUAUGAAAAUUGUAUCGCAUUAUAUUGCAUGAUGCAUCUUCUCUACCCUUGUGCUGUCCUAUAUCUCGUCAUGCCAAAAUAGGUUUUCAAGAAACAACGCCGCUGAACAAUACACCUUAAUACUGGAGAUGACCAAAUUAUUCAUUUAGUGCAUGUUAUGGUAAAAAGUACUAGACAAGAAUGUUGAGUACAAUAUAUAAUAUGUUAGCUUCUUUGUCUUCCUUAAUACUGUCCUCUAAUAUAUAAUACACCUUACCAACGAGCCAAUAACGUAUUUCUCAAUUAGUAAACUCUCUGUACAUUCGACUCUCCAUCCUAAGCAACAAUGAUCUAUUAAGAAUCUCCACACUAUGAAACCAACAUUUGAUAUCACUCAAUAUCAGUUCAUUCAGUGUAUGCCUUUGUUGUGAUCCAUUUUAAAACAUUCGAUUCUCCAAGAAAUACUUUUACUAGCUCAAAUACUAGUCAGAUAAUAGAAAUAAACGUAAAUAAGUAAUAAAGGCAGGAAUGCCUUUCCCUUAGUUCAAGUAACCUCUGCUUCCAAGAGACAUCAACAUGGUAACACCUUCUCUAGAUAUGUAAUAAUUCAAAUCAACCAAUAUUUUCAAAAUUUCCUUCUCCUUUUUAUUUUGUCUGAACACAAGAAGAAAUCAUCAUUACCAGAUAGGCAUCUUUACACCAAAAAGCACUAUUCCUCCAUGUAUUUAUACUAAUCUCCACAUCAUUAACUCCAUCGUACAAAACCAUCAACAACAAAAGCAGAAACCACGUACACAGUCAUUGAUAAUCUAAGGUGCAUACAAACGAGAAAAACAAUACGGGCACGUUUGAUACACAAUAUUUGACGUGAUCAGAGAAUAAAAGAGCCAGGGUUUUUGCUUAUAUUCCCCUCAAUACCUCUAGUAUAGUUUAUUCAACCAUAAGAAUGCUAACUGUAUCCUCUAUCUUACGAAUUAAAUGAAGUAGUUUGUGACCAAGAUCAAUUCAAGAUUUUUGAACAAAAAAACAAAAAUGUACAUAUCAUACAAUAUUGAAAACUUCUAUCUAGUUGAAACCAAUAACUAAUGAAGUGCAGUCUAGCUCUCCUUCCUCUCACCUUUGUUUACAUCAAUAGUACAACACAAAAUUAGAAAUCCCCAAAAGUAAAAACAACAUACCCAGAAGUAGUAAAUAAUUUGGAAAUAAUAUCAUCAUCUGGAUCAAAUUGACACGGGCCUAGAUCGAAUCAAAGCUGAUUUGAUUCUUUAUUUCUUUUUCUAAAGCAUUGAAAAUAUGAGAACAUAAUCUAUGUAAUCAUAUGCUGAAUGCGAUGAGUGAAAGACAAUUUACAGAAUUGUACCUUGUAAGAGCCAUCAUCUUGGGGUUUUCCGAGUCGUUUGAUUUCUUCUUUGAGUCGCUCUACCUCUUCUUCUACAUUCAUGAUUACUGUUAGAUCUGUUUGAUUUUCUUCUUUGGAUGCGAUAAGAUCAAAUUUUCCGUUUUAUACAGUGAGAUAUGAGGAAACUGUAAAACGGCUAAUUACACUAUGGCCCCCUUCCUUUUCACCAAAAUUUUAUUUUUGUCACUCAUAUUCUAUUUAAUACUCAAUAUAGUCGAGGAUAGGGAUGGCAAAGAAGUGAUGUGGGUUCAUUUUUCCGCCCCGUUACUCCAUUAAGGCAAGGUGGUGCUCCAUAUAGUUGUUAAAUGUUUUAAUUAAUUUAUUUAUUUUUAAAAGUUAAAUUAUUCAAAUAUAUUUGAUAAACUAAUAUUUUUAUUACUUAUCAUAUUUCUUAGAUAAUUUUAGUUGUCAUUUUCUGUUAGAAUUAAUGAAAUUUGGUAGAUUUUUUCUAUUUAAAGUAUUGAAUUCUUAAAAAAAUAAUAAUAAUAAAAUUAAACGGGGGCCUCUUGUACCUGUACCCGUCUUGGGGGGGGGGGAAUUCCCCGCCCUGUAUCUGACCAGAUUACCCGAUUAAACGGAUUUGACAAGUAUUUUUGUCAUCCAUAGUCGAUGAUUGAUAGGGACUUGUCUAACACAUAAUGCCUUCAAAAUUUUGAGGUGUGAGUCACGACAAAUAGAAGAUAAGAGCAAGAUUGAACCAUUUGAUUUAAAAAUUAAGCACAAAAUACCAUCUGCGAUAAGCAUUGUCCUUUAUCUGAUCUCAGUUCCUAUUUUACUUUGAAUACUUUAUCCAGACCGCGAAAAGUAUGAUAUUUUCAAAACUCUUUAGUUUCAUUUUAAAAAACUUAUAUAUCGAACAAUUACGUUUUUGUUUUGCAUAUUAAAAAAGCUUUGAGUUCUAGCAGUUCGACGACUUACACUUAGGUCCCCAAUGAUUUUCAAUAUCAACAUCUCCAACCAGCUAAUAUGACUUAGGAGGAAGAGUUGAGGAGAGGGAUUAUUCGAAAAAGAGCAAACUCCCCCCCUCAAGCGUAUGGGAUAAUGCAAUAAAGAUAUUGGGAUAAGGAGUAGGAUAACUUGAAGACAAUGCAUGUUGCUUUGUUAAGGAGAUGUCUCUUGUGUGGGUCAAUGUUACUCACUAUGAGAGAGGGAAAAAAAAAGUGUUUGUCGAACAAAAUUAGGCGUACAUUGAUUGUGAAAAUGAGGGGAAAACAUGUACAUACCUAUACAAUAGUUGAUGAAAUGUGAUAUUUUAUUUUUACUUUUUUUGUGGGAAACACGAGUACAUAUUUGCACAAUAAUUGAUGAAAUGUAUUUUAUUUUUUUUAUUAUUUUUAUGUUGAUGGGAGGGAAGUAGAGUUAUUUUCCUACCCAUCAUAGAAUGAGCAUUAUUUGAAUUAUGAAUGGUCUAAAUUCACUCAAAAUCGAGGGGAUCGUGACAUCGAUACUUUUUUAACCCAUGUAGGCUUAGGAAUGGCAGUGGGUCAGGUUCGGGGCGGGGUUCAUAGAAUGAACAUUAUUUGAAUUAUGAAUGGUCCAAAUUCACUCAAAAUCGAGGUGCUUGUGACAUCGAUAUUCUUUUAACCCAUGUAGGCCUAGGGAUGACAGUGGGAAGGGUUCGGGGCAGGACAACGGCUUAUCCCGUUUUAUUUUUUUUCACAUUUUCAGAUCUUCGAGUUAUAUUUUAUUAAAGAAUAAAAUACUAAUUCAAAAUGAAUUUUUAACGGGUGAAUUGUCUAAAAUUAAUUUUAAUUUUUUUCUUUACGAGAUGUGUUCAAGGCGAGGUACCUUGUGCCCCGAGAUGGGGCGGCGAAUUCCGCCUCUCCCUGUCAACCAUCGGUGCUAAUUUUUUUGGCUCCAUUUGAGGACGGGACAAAUUUUUUAACCUUCACCUUGUAGCCCAUGUGACCAUAAUGGUGUAUCUUAUUUUCUUCAUAUUCUUUGUAACUUUAAAACAUGAGGACCAUAUGAACAAAACAUCAACACACAAAGCUUUAUUUUGUAAAUUGUUUAAUAUAAGAUUAUGUUUCAUUGCAAACAUGAAAUUUGCAUAAAAACAAUAUAAAUUCUAUGUAAAUUAUUUGCAUAAAAAUUGUCAAUUAAAUGUAUCUAAUUAAUUUAAUUUUCAAUCUAAAAAAUAUUAUACUUGUCCGUUUCCAUUGAUGGAUAGGUGAGAGAGAGUGGAUCAAUGAAAGAGGGGAAAAAAACUGAAUUCCCUAAAAAAAAAAAACAAAACAAAACAAAACAAAAAAAAUCCUACUCGUAAGGAAAAUAUUUUUCUUAAUUUUCAAAAAAAUAUGAUCACGUAAUCAAAAGUAGAAAAAUAUUUUCCAUGAAAAAAGUCAAUCAAAAAGCACAAAAGUAAAAAUAUGAAAAAAAAAAAAAAAAAACACAUUUUUUAUGAAAAAUAUUGACAAUCAAACACACCCUAAAAUUAACAAACUAAUGUAAGUUUAAAAAGUUUAGUACAACAAAUAGACAGUCCUCUAAUCUGAAAAAUUAGCCGGCUAAAGCUAGCGUUUGAUUUGAUUGAAAUAUAAAAGAAGUCUAAAAAAAAAAAUUAUCAUAAAACCGUAGAUUUUGAAGAAUUUUUAUCCAUGUGUUCCCAGCAUAUUCAUUCUUAGGUUCAAAGGACUCGACCAUCAAAGCAAUCAAAAUUAUUGUUCACCCCUUUAUUCCAAUUCCAUUUUCAAUCCACUAGAAAUACAUCUAAAUAAGAAUAAAGCAUCGAUUAGGAAAAUUGAAAAAUGCUCCUAGAAGAAAUUAAAUUUUACAACAAAUUAAACCCAACUCAGGAAUUGUUCAAAUUUGCUGAUAAUGAAUGCUCUGGCUGUGAAAAAUAUACUUGGAUAAAAUUACACAAUUUCUCAAACAUAUACACUAUUAUAAGAACAAUAAAAGGCAACAGCCAAAUCAUCCGAGAAAGAUAGCAAUGGCUCCAAAUUUGUUGGAGCUUCUAAAAGCAAUACUUUGACAUUUGUAUAUAAAUAUGCAUGCGUGUGGGUAUGCAAAAAACAAAGCUCGUGUCACUAGAAUACUAACUCUCUAUUGCACCUGAUCCAAGAGUAGGAGCCACCUCUUGAAAGAAAGCAGGAUAGAGAGUCAUCAAAUCCAUGUGUUCUCGACAAACUUGGUCGAAUGCAUUCUUCCAAUCAGUAAAUAUCAACAGUAGGAUAAAGACCCAGAACUGAGUUGCGUCCACCACCGCUAGAAUCUGGCUUAGAAUAGAAUGGCGAGUUCAGCUCCCCAGAAUGCGAUGACUUCCGGAUCUUUGGAUUUUUGGGAGAAGCAGUAUAUGAUUCGCUUGAACUAAUGGUUGAAGAAUACGAAGACGAUGAUGGAAGUCCAUUCAUCUUUGGCAGGCCUGUCGGGUCUGUAUUUAAGCCACUCUCUGCCGUCUCAGCUUGAAGUGGUAAUUCAUCUAAUGUCUACAUAGUAUAGAAGUUAGUUCACUGAAACCACAACUUUCCAGAUAUGAAGCAUUUGCUUAAAGAAUUUUGCAGAACGAUUCAAGAUUAAACAGAUUGUAUGUUCUAGACAAAUUAAACAUAUGGUAUUGCAUAUCUUCGGUUAAAUUAAAUGGAGUCAAACACUGGAAUAAUUAAAGAUGCACUGGAGGAAAAUUCUUAGAGGGAAAUCAACAAAAAAGAAGAAAAACCUAUGACCAACCAUGUUGAUUCUCACAGAAAAUAAUCACGUCCAACUUCGAACCUAGAUAAUCAUGUGACUGCAAAUAUCUGCCAUUUGUAUACUCACCCCAUACAUAUAGGAAAAAAUGGCAGAGCCAGAACAUUUCUCUUCUAUUAAAGGAGGAAUCACCAACUCACCCGGAAAGCUUGCUGCAAAACACGAAGUCUCUCUCGGGUAUGCUUUCUCUUCAUGGAUACCUCAUCAGGCUCCUGUAACAUCUCUUCGAAAAGGUUUUCUCUGACAAUAACAUACAAGCAUCACUAUUUAUGUAAAUGACAGAUUUCUAGCAAACAACCAGCUAGCUGUUCCCUUGUUCAAACCAAGCCAAAUAAUUAAUCUCCUUCCAGAAUGUAACGACAGUUAUGGAACAUAAAACACCGUAUUGGAACGAAAUGCUGAACCCCCAUCCAGCAAAGCUACUUUUCCUGGCAAAAGUUAAAACCAUAACCCAACUCUUUAACCUAGUGUUUCUUUUCUAAAAUUAUGUUUGGAUUGGGAAAAAGAAGGGUUCUCUUGUCCUCUUCCAAGCGAUCAGGAAAUAAAGAAAUGGUUAAUAUAUUCAAGAAAUUACAUGUUUACAAGACAGUGUCAACUCAUCAUAUAUCAUUCUAUCCGGAGUUCUGCCUUUGUUUGGUUUCCACAACAGAUUAAAAGGAAAAGAAAGAAAAGAGAGAAGUCUUUCAUCUAGGCCCACAAACUGUUUUCCUCGAGUUUGUUUAUUUCUGCCACAUGUUUUCCACUUGAAUUUCUUCCUAUUCAUCUCUUUCCAUCUUGGGAAGAUGGGAGUUUCAAUUUCAUGGUUUAAGGAUUUGGCUAGUUCUCCCAUCAAAAUAAUAAAAUACUUUAACAGGGCAUACCUGUAAAGCUUUUUGAUGAAAACAUUGUGGAGCUCUCGUUUCAUGUGGUUUACCUGGGAAGUUUAUCAAUCAUGGAUACAGAAUUGUAAGCAUGUGUAGAAUUUUCCUUUCAUACUAGAAAAAAUCAUAGCAAAUUCAUGAAAUAUUAAUGAAAAUAUUACAUGCAGAAAUACCCCCACAAAAGAAAUGAAGGGGAGACAGGCUGGAAUGAAAGUUACACAAACUUAAACCGUUCAAUGUGUUGUAUGGGAGGUUGUUUACAAAUUAAGGCUGACAAAGCUAUAUAACUCUUAAGGUCUUUGAGAUCAAGAUGUAGAUAAGUAAUCAAAAGUAUAUAAUCAACUAACAAGUCCAACAAAAAAAUGUUAAAAAACUCAACACGAUAGUCCGGUGAAUGCAGAACUUCUUCAUUAAUAUGACUUGCAUAAUGAACUAUUGAAAAGUGUGCAACCUGAGAAUAAAAUUCACGGCAUUUACUAUUGAAGGAACAGAAAAACAUAAUGACAUAAUUUAUGAAACUGAUAGCCAAUUACCAGAAAAUGCAUAAUUGCUUUAGGUACAGAAUCCUCAAUGUUCUUCCGAACAAUGUCAUAAUAUGACCUUAAUAAUAACUUCGUAAUGGCAAUCUCAAUGGCCUCAUGAUCAUUGGUCUCUGAGGGCCUCAGGACGAUUGGGGGCUUCAUCAAGAACAACACAAAGCUGCUUAGGAAAAUAUGCAAGGCAGAUUUCAAGCUUGAAACAUAAGUAACCAAAGAUAACGGAGAGUACCCCAUGUCUAUACCUCGCACAAGUGAAUCAAUGAAACAGAAUGCUCCAUACUCUGAACAGGUUCACUAACUGGCUUGAUAUUUGAAUUUUCUUUAGCGGAUGUUCGAUUAUCAGACCCACCAAAAAUUGAUGAUAUUCUCCAUGUUGCAGAAGUGCCGUUUCCUGAUUAAACCGUAUGUACCAAUAUUAGACUUCAUAGUAGUAGUUAUCUACCAGUUAUUCGAAGAAUAACAUGGUAAGCUACUUGUACACAAAUACAAGUGGGACAAAAGGCCAUGCCAGAUAAAGCAUUUGCUGAAGAACCAGUAAUAUAUGCUGACUAUUGACUUCAUUUUAUGUAAUCAGGUUAAUAAUCACAUUAAUAACAAAUUAGCUGCAGAAGUUCUCGCUUCUUCUAUCAUGAAAAGCUAAGCAUUUGGUAGAAUUGAUAUUUCCCAGUAUCAUGAUUAAAGAUUAAAAAAGAUUAUGAUUCUUCUCCACUAAAAAAUAGAAUACCAGAUGGGGCAGUUUUCCCAGCAUCUGCCACAGGUCGAACACCCUGUUUUUCCAUGCAAAUCAUGACAACAAAACAAUAAAAACAAUUAUUCUUUCUAAUAAUGAAAUCACAAAUAGAUGUUCUUGGAAAUUGAACAACAUAACAACUCAACAAGAUGUGUGAUGUUAGUGAAUAGCCUACCUGCUCAGGAAGAUUUCCACGAGAUUUUGCAGUUCUUUCGGAGUUCAGUGAUUUCUCUGAAUCUCCUGCAUCCUUGUUGAUAAAUGCAAAUAAAAAAUUAGGGAAAGGAUAUUGUAAAUAUAGGCUGAAUCUUCUCAUAUUAUUCAUCCAAUAUAAGGGUUAUUUAUACAAAUAUAAUCCAAUCUAUAGAAGAAAAAGGUAAAAGAAAAUAUUAAUUCCUAACUAGAUGAGGAUAUAAGCUAGAUAAGAAUAUUUCUGUAAUCUCCUAUUCUAACUCAACCAUUUCUAAUGGGAACACAGAGAUGCAAACCAAUCACUACAACAAAGAAUAAUUUUACCUUCUGCCUAGCAACUGGGGCAGCGACCCUGGAGGUCAUCUGUCGUGCCACCUCUACAGCUUUACGACCACCAAUGAAAUUUGGGUGCGAUGUAUUUAUGUAAUCCAUCUGCAACCAAAAUAAUUAGAUUCAAGCAAUCUACAUAUGCUCAAGGGAAAAAAUGACUCAAACAAAUAAUACUGCAGAACAACGGUAAAAAGUGAGCCAAAUUACAGGUGAAGCAUAAAAAGAUUGUACAAAAGAUAAACGAAGGUCAUUGACACAGGAUGAGCGAAAAAAUUCGAUGAACAAAUUAAAAUCUAUAUUAUUAAUGUUUUCUCGAAAUUGUAAAAGAUUCAAUUCCCCCUUUUUUGCAUAUCAUGGUAGACAAUAACAAUGCAAAUUCAGAAAAAGAUAAACUGUAAUUAUGGCUCCAAAUUUAUGCAUAAAGCAAGUCAUAUUUCUACGAUACAAAAGCUCUACAGAAAAUAAUAUAACAGACUCUACAAGCCUAUUCUGCACGUUGUUUCUCCAUCAUACAUGUAUUAGCAGUCCAAAAACUAGUCAAAUUCAGGCUCCACACCAGUAAAAGGUUAAAAAUUAUAAAGGAAUAAAAGGCCCCAAUCCUUCGUCAUAUAUAAUGUCAAUACAGCUGAAACUUGUGGAUAGUGCUGCAAAAAUAUUGCAUCCAAAACAAAAACAAGAAAAAGAGAAAAGAAUGCAAUGGCAUUAACAAAUACAAUAGCUAAGAAAGAUACCUAGAACUUAUGUUUGACAAAGCUUUUUAUAUAAGUUUUAGCAGAUUUUGAUAAAAAUUGAAAAAGUCGAUAAAUGUUGUGGGCAUGAAAUAUGAGGUAAAAAUUAAUUAUUAUCAACUUUGACCUCAACUUUUUAGCAAUUAAGCUAUCCCGAACAAUCAAUAGCUAUCUUAAAGAACUCCAGAUAAUAGAGAAUUUCAUAUAUUAUGAAGAGAAAUCUCAAAAACAAGCAGGCAGGAAAUAAUUUGACAACUAUUUCUUAACUUUGAGCGUCACUCUGUUCUUGAACCUUCUCGGAUUGAGUACAGGAUCUCGAUUUUGAGAAACAUGUGUUUGAGACUGGAUGCAAAGUGUGUGUAUAUGGAUGAGAACGUUGGUUUUAACUCUACUCUCCUUGUGUAAAUGGUCACACUUUAGUCAAUGAUUUAAUAAAGAUUUACUUGUUGGAAAAAGUAGCCUAAGAUACAUACAUUAUUUUGAAAGAACAGCAAAAAUGGAGACGAUGUGGCAAGAAAUGAAUAGGGGACACUGACAGAUCCAUUGCAUAUUUGAAACACAAACCGAGGGUAAAAAUGUGCACGUAAAGAAGACUGCUCAAGGUUGAGGGGGGAGAGGGUGGGCAAGUGGGGAAGGCUAUAGUUUCCAGAAAUCGUCAAAAGAGUAACAGGAAUCAUAGAAUCACCAAAAUGAUUGGAAGUGGACUCAUCUAACUAUAAUACUCGAAGGAAAAGUGAAUCUACAUUGAUCCUCUCGCUUAUAGAUCUAUUUGAUAUUGGAGCAAAAUUAAACAUGAGAAGCUACACGGAAAAAUUGAUUAUCUGUGUGCAAGUAUACCUCCAUUUCAAUAAUGUGUCCUAUCAUUGUCUCUGAUGGCUCAAGGCCGUCUUGUAAACAGUUUCCUGUAACCUCAUCCAUGCGCUUUCUCAGGACAGGAAACCUCUGCAAUUCAUUCAACAUACAACGAUGGCUCAUCUGAAAGAAACCAUUCAGGUUAAUGUCCAGACACUAAGAUGUAUUGCACCCAUGAGACUCUAGAAAUUUGUCCCAAAAAAAAAAAAAAAGUACCUUUACUAGCUCAUCAUAAAUAAACCGAGCACAUUGAAGACUUGGAUCCAACAAACGAGCUAUUUGUCUCCUAACAAGAACUUCAAAUGGAACCUGCAUGUUUCGUUUUGUAUUUACUUUCAUGCUGACUCAGAUUGAAAGGCCAAAAUACUAAAGGAUAAAGCAUUCAGAUUAUUUUAAAGAUCAAAGAUUACAUAGCAAAAUAAGAACAUACAUGUGGUAUAAACAAUGCAGAUUUAAGGCCAGUAGCAUUUUGGAUGGCAGUAUGGAUGUCAUCAUCAGAUAAACCCUCACAUGGAUCUACCUCCUGCAUAUAAAAUUCAUAUUUGGUUAAACUUAAUGUUUAUUAAUAUUGUAGAGAUGACACUGAAAAGCACAGGCAAAUAAGAGAAAAAUGAACGGAAGAAGAUACAACUAUCUCGCCAAGAAAUUCUUCUGUUUCCCUUGCCAAAUGAAGUCCUCUAGAUCACCUUUUUACUUCUAUCUGUACAUGUAUCCUCAUUUCUUCAGGGAAGAACAAUAUCUCCAUUUUAAUAGAAGUUUAAUAAAAACAAUGCAUGGAGUACUGAAAGGUUACUUUGACCAAAAAGGGCAGAAGAUGGAAAAGUAAAAUAAAAAACUCAAUCAUUUUCGCUAGAAUAUCAGUUUCAGAAAAAUCUAAAAUAUCAAUGUCCAGUACAUUCACAUCAAUGAUACAUACCUCCAAGCUCUUCACAAAUAUAUUCUGGAAGAUGUAGUGGAUUCUUGCUCCACCAGACAGUUCAGAAGUUGAUAUUUCUUCAUCUUUUCCUUCUAUCAACGAAGAGAAUGCUGUUUGCAACACAGAAAACCGAAACAACAUUAUUAAGACCCGGCAUUGACUAAAAUCCUUUAGAAGGAUGUGGCAUCCAGUGAAUGUGUUGGAAACUUCAGCAAGAAAUCAAUCAAAUACAAAAUACAUUUAAUUGGAACCAUGAUAUUCUCCACCGGGGCCCGGGGGGGGGGAGAGAAGGUCAUAUACCUUCAGAGUAUUUUGAAAGAAUGUUCAGUAUCAAUGCUCCCUGACCAGCCUGCAUCACAAAAAUGUGAGAUCAAUAAUCAAGAUUCAAAAUAGUUCUUUGUUUUUAAAAUGUGAAACCAGAUCAUUCUAUGAAUUGCAGGCAUUUGCAAUUGCUAAUAUUUGCGUAUUCCGGGAAAUAAAUCGGUGAGGGAAGGAAAAGGUAAAGCGAGAGUUAUGAACUAUUUAUCAUCCUCAUGGUCUGCCCCUGUAAAAACAGUUCUUUAUUUUGAAAAUGCCAAAGUACAAAAGGAUUGAACCAAAUAAAUGAGGUGAUCUGCUAUUAAAUGAAUUCCAGAAUAAAAUCAUCCAACGAGAUAUUAGAACAAACUUUUGAUUCGGAAAUCUCUCCAUAGCUAGCAUGCUCCUUUGCAACAGAAACCAGUUCGGUACUAAUUCGUGACUUCAAUACAGGAAGAACUGUCUUGAUGUGUUGUAUCAGAAUCUGCAGAACAAGCAGCAAACUUCAGUUUUUGUUCGUCACAUUUUUCUGAUGAAGCAUAAUAUUGAUCAUAAGAAUAAUAGAAGAAAGCUUGUAUCUCAUUACCUCACAAACUAACAAAAUAUUAAAAAAAAAUUAAAUGCUUGUGAAAAUGAUAGUGACCACAAGCAAGUAAAAAACACUUCAUAUCAUAAUAAAGUUUUGUUGCAUUGAGAUGUUACUUAGAGCAACUUAUACGGUAAAAUGGGUAUAAAAGACAUCAGUCCAAGACUGCAUUCUACUGCGUGCAUACACAUCUCCAAGAUAUAAAUGCACGUGAGUGCAUCAUGCAGCCAAAAUUAUGCACAUGAACAGAAUGGCAUCUGGGUGUGUGGGAGUAGGUAGGCAAAAUAUGCAAUAAUGGCAUGCAUGUAAUGUGUCAAACAAGGGCAAUGUAUUUCUGAAGAUAUAUUACAGGAAAGUAAUUGCAACUCAGUCUCAAAAUAUCUACCUGGUUUAACUUCUUUGCCAACUGAGGAACCCCACAACGAUCUGCAAGAUCCCUAUAUGCCUAUAAAAAUGAAAGUUAAUGAUCUGAGUGACAAGCCAAAGACAAUCAAGAUAUAAGCUAAUAAUGAAAAUGAUUAAGGUCAUACCGGAUGACUAUUAAAGAACUUCUCCUCGGCUAUAAGAGCAUCUUUGAUACUGCGGUUCAUCUGAAUAUCCUGUUUAUGGAAGGUAUGGCCCAACUAGUAAGAAAUAUAUAGACGUAACAUGGCCUUAAAAUAACCAAUAACUUCUGCAACCAAAUAUUAUACAAAAACACAGUUUUCUAGUCAGUUAUGAUUUUUAAGUAUUUUUAAAUUUCCCCAAUGUCAUUAAACAUGUCCCCUUGGGUUCCUCAACAUCAUUGUGAUCUCACAUCAUGUUCCUUCAAUCGAUCUGCAUAUAUUUCUCAAGCAGGAAUUAGAAAAUAACAAAGUUGAAAAAAAUGGUGUGUAGAAUUCUUGAAAAGGAAAAACAUCAACCUUCUUUUAAUUUAUUUAUAUUUCUAAAUAGCGAAUCUCAAUCACAACAAGCAACUAGAAAUUAGGUAUAUAUACAGGAUAGCUAAACUAAGUUACGCCACGGAAUUAACUAGAAGAUAGGCAGCUAGGACAAAUAACCCGAACUUCUCCCUAUUUCUCCAUUGCAUAAAUAAAUUUACAAAUAAAUUUAUCUGACUAUAAUUUAUUGUCAUUGAUCUCGCAAACUGGAGUAUUCAUAUUUUAAUAUAAUAGUACAAAAGUUAAUUUCAUGGAGCGCAGAGAAUUUUCAUUUCUUAUCAAUUCUCUUUCCUGUUUCUGUUUGGGAAUCUGAAAGGGAAUAAAAAGAUAACUGGAUUUCAGAUUUCUCCAAGUACCAAAUAAAGUCUAGUUCCUCAAGCUCUCACUGUACAGCAGUGCUAAUUUUCAAAUUUGGAUUAAAUUUGAGCCUGACCUUUCCAUUAUUUACAAACAUGCAGUUACAGAGUAUCGCCUUUUAAAUGUUAACUCUUGCUCCAACUAAAUUUCUGAGGACAUCAUCAUCCAUUCAGCUUCUAACAAUCAUCUACUUGAUCACAUAUUUGUAGCCUUAGCAAAUGCUAAAUUCCAUCAAAAUUGUUGAAACAUUAACAUCGUCAUCAAUUUAGCAUCUUACAAGUCAUUUGCUUGACUAUAUUUUGUAGUUUGAAUUAAUACUGAUCUGCAUCGAAAUUGCCAAAAAAAUCCAAAACAAAUCAUAGAACGAAACAAUUUUCUGCAUAUAAUGGUGAUGCUGGCACCAAAGCAAGGAAAAUUUGAAAGAUAACAUAAGCGGACAGAGGAGUCUCAAUUCUCGGGUAAUCAAACAAAAAUAAAUGUACUGAGAUGUAGAUCACUCCUGAACAGGGAAAAAUGGUUUCUAAAAAUAAUAAAAUAUUUGAUUAAUAAAUCAUUCAAGAAAGACAACACAUCAUAUAUAAUAUAGUGCAAUUGAGAAGAUAGUUGACAAUCUUAUUUGAGAAAGGCAUACAUGUACAUAAUGUGUUGCAAAGGAGAAGAUAAUUUCACAUACUCAUUUAGCCAUCUCCAUUACCUCAGCUUUUGAUUGUGUACUAAAUAGAAAGACACAAAUCUACAUAUAAAGCAUGUGUCUAGUGAACCAAAUUAACCAGAAAGGGCACAAUAAAACAGCUACCAUUUUUAUGUCACUCAUACGGACAUCAUUAAACAUAAGAUAAAUUCCAAAUUUGCGAUUGAAAUUGUCGAGAGAAGAGGGCAGUAAUAAAUGUACUAAUUUACUUGCAAACCGCUUGAGUUUAGAAAGUAUGACCAUCACUUUGACAAGAUAUAAUAAAACGUAACUCGCAUCAAUAUUCCAUCAAUCUGAAGCUGAAAUAUUACCUCUUGACUACGAUUCACAACACCUACGUAACCAAGUUGAAGAUGAACAUCUUUUCCAAGCAGAAUUUUGCAAGCAUCAGUACCUCUAUCCAUGAUAUCCAACUGAUGCAACAACGAAAACAAUGCAUAGUUGUCUUAAGGGGAAAAAAAAUAAGAGAGCAACACAAACAACUAUACUUCUUAACAAACAAAUUUCACCUUAGUAAUUACACCAAUUGUUCGAGACCCUGCCAAUAGAAAAGUUUAUUCAUGAGCUAGAGAAUCCAAGUGCAAUAACAUCCUGGUAAUAGAUUUCUUUGGUAGAUGAAGAUAUUAAGUGCAGAGCCUACCCCCAGGAUCAGCAGUUUUAGCCAGUUGAAGAGCAUCCGAGUUAGACAAGUCAGAAUUUGCGGGUGUAACAGCUAAUAUCAAGCAACUUGGAGGUCUAAUGUAUGAAUUUAUCAUUUUUCUAAUACGUGCUUCGAUAUCAGAAGGCUGAUCGCCAACAGGGACCUUUGUUAUGCCAGGCAAAUCCACUAGAGUAAUAUCGAGAACAUUUGGCGAGAAAAUCUUCAAACGAAUCUGCUUGUCUGAAACGCCUUUGUUUCCUCCAGCUUCUCUCUCUGUUUCAGCCUAAUAUCAUUGCCAAUGAUCAGUUAUUGAAUAGUUCCACUGCAUUACAGAAGCUUCUGAGACUAUGGAGAAAGUCCAAAUUCUCAAAAUCCUAUCUUAAUACUAAUUUUUUUUAUAGGUCUAUCUCAUUAGUAAAUAAAACCUCAAGCGAAACUUGCCAGAAAGCCCAUAUAUUGAUAGUAUUGGGACACAUCAAGAAGCAAAAGGCAGGCUAAAACUUAGCGUAAAAUGUGUAAUUAUCCUUGAAAACAGCUCGUUAUGGGAAAGGGCAAAAUCCCUAGGUUUAUUGGCAAAUUACCCAGUAUUUAUAAAAUUCAUCUGAUUCUUUUUAAGUUUUCAUCAUUCAAUUCUUUACUUUUUUUCUUUUUUUUUUUAAUAUCCACAAUAGAUGCAUAAUUGCUUUUCUCAAGUUUCGCAAUAAUGAAUCACUAACUCCCAAACACGUAAAGAAGGCGCUAAAUGUGAAAAUUCAAUUCUGCCAAAAAUCACCUCAAUCUCCUUGCGAAUUUCGUCGAAAUUAAAUAGCUUCUUCCCCGGUAAAUGCAAGAACUCCCCCCACUCCUCUUCAGUCCCGCCAGCCUUCCUCUUGGUCUGGACGAGCUGUAGCACUAGCGGACGGCGCGUACAUAUGUCAUUGCCCCGGGGCAAGAAAUCACGGCCAACUAGUGCCUCCAAGACGCUGGAUUUCCCGCUGCUCUGGCUUCCAAUCACCGCCACCUGCGGAAGCUCAAUUGUGGGUUCUUUCCCGACCCGGGCGAAGAUAUCUUGCAGCUUGUUCACCGUCGGAAUCACCGAGUGACCCAGUGGCGCCGCUGCGGCGUUAGUAGAAAAAACCACUUGAUCUCCACUCAUAUUGAUAAAUUGAUCUAAAAAAUUAAUAAAAAUGGAGACGACUGAAAAAAUCAAACCCUACGCUGAUUCGGGGUUUUGGGUUUAAAGCGAGCUGGCGGAGGAUGGACGCAAGCAAGCUGGGGAAUUUGAAUUUGUACCGUGGGACAAUAUCGUAGCGCUUAAGGAACACAAAAUUGGAUAAAUUACAACAUUGGUCCCAACCUUUGUGUACAUUGACAAUCUCAUUACUUUCUUUUACUUUUCAACAAUUUGGUCUAAAAUCUUUUCAACAAUUUGCAAUAUUACUCCAAACUGUCAAAAAGGUUGUUAAACUUAAACCGAUGUAAAAAUAUGUAUUCUGAAAAAAGUAAAGCAUAGCUAAGCUUGGAGAACAAACUUUACGAGCCUACGUCUAAAAUUUUUUUUUUUAAUUUUUAUUUUAAAUUUUUAAUCAUUCUAAGAAUUGUUUAAUAUAUAUAUCAACUAUCUAAAAUCAUAAAGUACUAUAUUUAUUUAAUAAUUUCUGCAAUUAAUUAAUUAUACAAUCUCUAAAGGAAAAAUUUACAACUAAAGUCAAAUAAAAAGUUUUUCAUUAAAAAUUGUUUGGAGGAAAUUCUCACCAAUUUUUCAUUAAAAAUUAGACCGUUGGACUGAAAGUGGGCCCCUUCCAACCGUAAAAGUCUAAGGACCUGAUUGGUACUGAUAUGAGAAUCAAUUAUUUGAUCGUUAAAGAGAAAAGUGGAUCUCAUCUGUAAGUGACGAAAUAAAAAAUGACGACUUACUAUGUUAAGUAACGGUUACAAAAUUGAUCUUUUGGCUUGAAAAAUCAAAACCAAAUGGGGGCUAACUCAAAAUUAGUUGAUUUUCCAUAAAUAUCCUUCUUUCAAAAUUAGUGUAUUAGAUGUCAAAAAGAUAAAUACGUAAUUCUGUAUUUCUUAGUCAAUAAGGGUGGUUGGUUUUGACCUUUAUAACGGUAUAAAAAAAAAAAAAAAUGCUAAAUUUUCCUCCAAGGAACCUCGAGGAAUUGCGGAUUAAAAAUGUUAAGAUGAGAACAUGAUGCAGUUUUUAUCAUUAGCAUUACCCAGGCUAACAAAGACUUCUCAUCAUUUGUUACGUCUUGAAUUGUUUGAAAUACUUCUCCAUGAUCUAAAAAUGUCUUGUUUGGUAUUUCUUGAUGUCGUCGUCUUCAAUACAUUGAAAUCCUGUGAUCAAUCAAGGUAGAAUUCGGCAAUAGAAUAUCUCAAAAACCUCCCCUAAUCAUAAACAAAAGCAGGUCUCUGUAAAGGUUUUAGUAACGUUGCUUGUUUGGGAUAGCAUUUUCUUACCAGUGAACCACUCAUUCUGAUGCAAAAUGUAUUGCCAUACCCAUAGGAUAAACAGAUUAAAAAAAAUUAGUUACCUUCUGUGAAUACCAAGCUUUCACAGCCCUGGAAUCAUCUUCGUUCUCCAACACCAGUGAGUUUCUAAGUUUUCUAACGAAAGGCUGAAAGCUACUGGAAAACAUGCAGGAGUGAAUGCCUCCACAGCAGCUGUGAAGAACAAACUAAAUAUAUUUUCAACAUGCAGAGAAUUUUUCUUGACUGAAGUUCCCACAAAAAGGAGAACACGAUUUCUUCCCAAAAUUCGAGAAUUCACAUUCCAAAAUGUCGUUUGCUAGAGAUUUCAAGAAAUAAAAGAGAUGAUGACAUUUCUUUAGCCUCUUCUCAUUCCACAUCUCUUCGAUCUUCUUUACUGCAAUGUCAAACCCAUAAUUUCUCCCAUACUAUGCUACUCCCGGUCUCUUAAGAAUUUCCCAAUAAAGUCACAACAGAUUCCAGAGCCAGUCCAGUGAUGUUGCCCCUUUAAAAGAAUAUGCAUUCUUUGAUGAUGCUGGUUGAUGGAAGAUAUUGACGGCGAUUUCUUCCCAAAAUUCGAGAAUUCACAUUCCAAAAUGUCGUUUGCUAGAGAUUUCAAGAAAUAAAAGAGAUGAUGACAUUUCUUUAGCCUCUUCUCAUUCCACAUCUCUUCGAUCUUCUUUACCGCAAUGUCAAACCCAUAAUUUCUCCCAUACUAUGCUACUCCCGGUCUCUUAAGAAUUUCCCAAUAAAGUCACAACAGAUUCCAGAGCCAGUCCAGUGAUGUUGCCCCUUUAAAAGAAUAUGCAUUCUUUGAUGAUGCUGGUUGAUGGAAGAUAUUGACGGCUAUUUUAACUCUCCCCUUGAGAAUGAGUCCAUAUUAGGAUUACCAAACCAUUUUGCCUGCCUGCACACACUCAAUAUUCAAGGAAACACCUGAAAAACUUGUUCCUCCCAUCAACACCCCCCCCCCUUCCCCAACAACUUUCAUACGUGAGAAAUUAGAGGUAUGAGAAUAUUUGAGUAUUCAGAAAGAUGGCCUCAUGUCACUGAAGAAAGCACGUCCCUGGUUCACAGUUAUCAACAGAGAAAACUGAACAUAUCAACCUGCAGGUUUGCAAGCAGCCGAAAAGAAAGAGGAUCCAAAGAGUACUUGGUACAUUGAAAGAAGCAAUGCACUCAUAAUGACAUAAAAAGGCGAACACAAUCAAAUACUAGCUCACGUAACAACAUAUAAAUUGUGGAACCAAUGGAAACAAUUACGGAUACAAUGAUGUCCAACGUUCUCUUCAAUCUGAUUUGCCACUUCAUCUGUCAAAGAAGAUCGAAAGUAAAAUCCACAAUUAGCAUUUCUUUAACAAAAUAGCACUCCUAGCACACAAUGUAUCCCACCAAGAAUUAAAAUCACCUCAAGAGCAAUUUUUCAAGCACAUUUCCAAAAUCAACAGAUUCUGCAGCUGUAAGAAGUAUAGCACCAAACUCAAGCUAAGUGGAAAACAUCAAUUAUUAUAGUAAAUUCACUGAAUUUUCACUGACUGAGGAAAAAAUCCAUAUACCUGAAUUAGCAGAUGGACAUACCAAUAAGUCACUUACCCUGCUCGAAGCAGAAAGAUAAGAACCAACUGGGAGAUUAUGUUAUAAGCUAAAUAAACACAAAUCAUAAGCAGAAAAGGAAAGACACGUUAUCGUCUAAUUUCCUGUUGUACUAAAUUCUAAGCCUACAACCUGGUUGAGCUACUUCGUAGUUAACAAAUAGAAUCGACUGAAAAUAAUAGUUUAAUUUUGACAUCCACACAUCGAAAAACACUCAACAUGGAACAUAUAUAUAUUGAACUGGACCACAAUAAAACCAUCAAACGAAAUGCAUGAGUUGGUCUACAUCAUCCAUUACUACAAGUCGAAAAUUACAAGGGUCUUGCUAUCCUAAGCAGCAUCGACGGCAUUAUUAUAGCCUACAAUUACAACAAAAAAAGGGUAUUAAUUCACUAAGCAGCCUUGACAACCUUGUCAUCACCUACAACAUUAAGAAUCGGAAGGCUGCUUAGGAAUUCAUCAAGACCCUCGAAAAACCCAUUCCCUUCAAUGUUGUCAUCCUCUCCGCGUCCUGAUCCAUUUCCUUG